rnacentral:rRNA from 1 species
UACGUAGGCAGCAAGCGUUGUUCGGAAUUACUGGGCGUAAAGAGUGUGUAGGCGGUGCUCUAAGUUCGGUGUGAAAUCUCCCGGCCUAACUGGGAGGGUGCGCCGGAAACUGGAGUGCUUGAGCGCGGGAGAGGAAAGCGGAAUUCCUGGUGUAGCGGUGAAAUGCGUAGAUAUCAGGAGGAACACCUGUGGUGUAGACGGCUUUCUGGACCGUAAGCUGACGCUGAGACACGAAAGCGUGGGUAGCAAACAGG